UGUCCUCCCUGGGGCCGCGCCGGCUGGCUCAUCGGUACUCAGGUGGAGUUCCAUCCCUGGCCCGCAGUCCGCACAAUAGAUAACUCCACCGAUACGAAACAGCUGCUUUAAAACAGAAGAAACGCAUCACUAACAAAACAAAAUAGCUAAAACAAAAGGAAAUGUAAAAACAAACUAUUGACGACGGGCCCAGUUGGACCCCGGCGUACCCAUCCUGUCUUGCGUUGGCCCCUACAUCAGUGGUUGCUCCUCAUCCGGCGUAGCGCUGUGGAAUUCCCCUUCCCUCCAUGAUGAGAAAACUCACACAACCAUGUUCAUCAUAACAAACAAAAUACCAAAUAACGAAAUAGGAACGGAGCGAAACAACAACGGCCACAACGACGUAAAGGACAACUUUUCUUUGAUGCGUCACACUCAUUGUCAACCUGAACCUACCUAAGAGCUCUUGGUGGUCGGUGAAGGGGCGAUACGGGUGAGGGAUGGCAAAUAUAUGCAUAUGUAUAAAUUAGUAAAUAUAAAUAUAUGAAUCCCGCCGCAAGUAAAUUUCUAGGUAUGUAUGUAUGUAUGAAGGUGUUUUGUCGUCCCUACUCUGUCAUUUUUAC